rnacentral:rRNA from 1 species
GACGAACGCUGGCGGCGUGCCUAAUACAUGCAAGUUGAGCGCUGAAGGUUGGUACUUGUACCAACUGGAUGAGCAGCGAACGGGUGAGUAACGCGUGGGGAAUCUGCCUUUGAGCGGGGGACAACAUUUGGAAACGAAUGCUAAUACCGCAUAAAAACUUUAAACACAAGUUUUAAGUUUGAAAGAUGCAAUUGCAUCACUCAAAGAUGAUCCCGCGUUGUAUUAGCUAGUUGGUGAGGUAAAGGCUCACCAAGGCGAUGAUACAUAGCCGACCUGAGAGGGUGAUCGGCCACAUUGGGACUGAGACACGGCCCAAACUCCUACGGGAGGCAGCAGUAGGGAAUCUUCGGCAAUGGACGAAAGUCUGACCGAGCAACGCCGCGUGAGUGAAGGAGGUUUUCGGAUCGGAAAACUCUGUUGGUAGAGAAGAACGUUGGUGAGAGUGGAAAGCUCAUCAAGUGACGGUAACUACCCAGAAAGGGACGGCUAACUACGUG